AUCGAGUCCCCCUCGCUUUCGGUUUUGGGGGGGGCUCGUGGCCGCGGCGGCCUCUUCGGCCCGGGAAACGAACGAACGAGACGGGGGGGACCAAGCGGCGAGUGCGUGCCCCCAGUUUAAAAUGUUUUGAAUGCCACAUGCGUCCAUGUGUACUUGGAGGCGACGCGAAUUAUUGGCUGCCCCUCCGCUGCGCAGCUUGGAUUCUGGAUGGAUCACCCUGGAUGGGGUUUUGGAUGAGGGGAGGGCCUCAGGCAACAAGAGGGGAAUCUCUCCCCCCCAAGUUCGGAUAGAUGGUGAUUAGCUUAGCUAGUGUGUCUUAUCUCCUACUACUAGUAGUAGAUCCAUCAGUUUCCGAUAAUUCUCAUGAGGUGACAAACUGACACUCCUCCAAUCUCAAAUCUGUUGUUUCUGAUGAGUUACACAGAGAUGAUCUGUUUUGAACGCAUGAAUUCUGCAGGAUUUUUGCGUUUAUCUCGCGGAUGGGUGUUUCUUGUCUGAUCUCCAUGCAUGCAUGUCCAGUUGUCCAUUCAUCUCUGUGUAAAAACAGAGACAGAUCAAUGAACAGGUGAUUUCCUAUUACUGUCUGAUCAUAGUAUGCCGUUAGCAGGUGGGGCACUGCAGAACGGAAUCUAUGCAAGCACACAUCAUCAAGCACGCGAAUAAACCCCACAUCCGAGCUGAGCAUGCUUGUGCCUAAUCCAGAUGCAAAAGCAGCCACUUAAUUAGCAUUUAGCAGCUCGUUCCUGGAAGUAGAACCACCCCCCCACACACAACCCACUUGCAGUUUUGCAUAUCGCUGUACUUGCACAUAGUAGUCAGUACAUGUCAAUUUAGCUGUAAAUUUGCCCUCUCCUCUCUCUUUUUCUCCAUGAAACAGAUGGAUUUGGAUGUGACCCCAAGGAAAGAAUAUACCAUUCAUACAUCCCUUUCUUUAAAUUGUGGAAAAGGGAGGUAAACAAAGACGUGUUCAUGGGAAGUCGGCUCACUGAAACUUCAGUAGCACAUUUGGAGAGAUUCUAGAGUAAUUCUAGUACAAAUAAUUUCCUUUUGCUAGUGUCAUUAAUCUUUUAAUUUUGUUGAUUGUUUCUGCGCUUUUUCCUAUAAUUAUAUGUGGUUCAACUAUUUAGAGAGCCCAUUUGUAUUUUCUGAAGGAAGAUGCCUUUUCAACGGGAUAGUGUCAGUGUAAAUUAAUGUUCUUAGGCUUGUAAUGAUAUGAGUUGUUAAAAGAAACGCCCAACAGCAUCCAAAGAAUACAUUUUUGGUUAUCUAAAGAAAUAAUAUGUUUGUC
rnacentral:lncRNA from 1 species